GACGAACGCUGGCGGCGUGCUUAACACAUGCAAGUCGAACGGAAAGGCCCUGCUUUUGUGGGGUGCUCGAGUGGCGAACGGGUGAGUAACACGUGAGUAACCUGCCCUUGACUUUGGGAUAACUUCAGGAAACUGGGGCUAAUACCGGAUAGGAGCUCCUGCUGCAUGGUGGGGGUUGGAAAGUUUCGGCGGUUGGGGAUGGACUCGCGGCUUAUCAGCUUGUUGGUGGGGUAGUGGCUUACCCAGGCUUUGACGGGUAGCCGGCCUGAGAGGGUGACCGGCCACAUUGGGACUGAGAUACGGCCCAGACGCCUACGGGAGGCAGCAGUGGGGAAUAUUGCACAAUGGGCGGGAGCCUGAUGCAGCAACGCCGCGUGUGGGAUGACGGCCUUCGGGUUGUAAACCGCUGUCGCCUGUGACGAAGCGUGAGUGACGGUAAUGGGUAAAGAAGCACCGGCUAACUACGUG
rnacentral:rRNA from 1 species